rnacentral:tRNA from 1 species
CUAAAUAUGGUUUUACUAGUAUCCAUCAAUAGGACUUUCCAGUUAUUCUUAAAAAUUGUAUAAUCAGGUCCUUUUU